rnacentral:rRNA from 1 species
ACCCAAAAGAUCGAAUGGGGAGAUUCAUCGUCAGCUCAUUUUAUAUAUAUGCAAGUUAUGAUAUGGGUUACUACUCUGUGUAGUAUUGCCUGUACAUUCUUGUAUAUUUGAUGUAAGAUGUUGUCGGCGUGCACUUCUCCCCUAGUAGGACGUCGCGACCCGUUGAGUUGUUGGUCUACGGCCCAAGUGGGAGCUUUUAAUGAAUUUUAUUCAUUGAAAACCCUUGGUGUCUCCUGACUGGCGCUCGUCGGUAUUCGUAUGGUAUUGAGCCGCAUAUUAUAUGCGUCCAUAUCUGUCGCAAGCGAGGUUACACACUGAUAGUGCGGACCCAGUGCCGUCUGUUGUGCUAACCAGCUGUUGGUUGUACAGAAUUCUAGGACUGGCUCGUUGAAAUACCGCUCAGCGAUGCUAC